CGUAACUUAGUGGCGGACGGGUGAGUAACGCGUGGGUAACCUGCCUUACACAGGGGGAUAACACCUGGAAACAGGUGCUAAUACCGCAUAAGCGCACAGGGCCGCAUGGCCCGGUGUGAAAAACUCCGGUGGUGUAAGAUGGACCCGCGUCUGAUUAGCUUGUUGGCGGGGUAGAGGCCCACCAAGGCGACGAUCAGUAGCCGGCCUGAGAGGGUGGACGGCCACAUUGGGACUGAGACACGGCCCAAACUCCUACGGAAGGCAGCAG
rnacentral:rRNA from 1 species